rnacentral:rRNA from 1 species
CAUAGGUUAAUGAGGCGAACCGGGGGAACUGAAACAUCUAAGUACCCCGAGGAAAAGAAAUCAACCGAGAUUCCCCCAGUAGCGGCGAGCGAACGGGGAGGAGCCCAGAGCCUGAAUCAGUGUGUGUGUUAGUGGAAGCGUCUGGAAAGGCGCGCGAUACAGGGUGACAGCCCCGUACACAAAAAUGCACAUAUUGUGAGCUCGAUGAGUAGGGCGGGACACGUGGUAUCCUGUCUGAAUAUGGGGGGACCAUCCUCCAAGGCUAAAUACUCCUGACUGACCGAUAGUGAACCAGUACCGUGAGGGAAAGGCGAAAAGAACCCCGGCGAGGGGAGUGAAAAAGAACCUGAAACCGUGUACGUACAAGCAGUGGGAGCCUCUUAAUGGGGUGACUGCGUACCUUUUGUAUAAUGGGUCAGCGACUUAUAUUCUGUAGCAAGGUUAACCGAAUAGGGGAGCCGAAGGGAAACCGAGUCUUAACUGGGCGUUAAGUUGCAGGGUAUAGACCCGAAACCCGGUGAUCUAGCCAUGGGCAGGUUGAAGGUUGGGUAACA